UGAUUAUGUUCUCUGCGCUGUUUUUACACCUUGAGCUGUAUAUAGGGAUUGUUUCCUGUGUAAAGUAGCUGAUAUCUUAACACUAAUCUUACUACACAUUGCUGGACUUGGCUGGAAGCUUCCUGGUGUCCUCUUCUAAUGUCAGGAAAUUAUUAGUUUAGUACAGAUCUUUAGUCAAUACUAUUUCUCUGUCCCCUAUCCUUCACUUUCCAUUUAGAUACCACUGAAAAGGAGGCAGCCGAUUUAAAUGCAGAUAUAUAUAUAUAAGGCUACAUGAAAGUGUUGGGAGAAUUGAUCAAGGUAGGUUUUCAAGGAUUGAGACUUGGCUACAGGACUGUAGAAUGAAGCUGAGGAGCCAGGUGAUGAGAACCUCAUGUCUGGAGGAAAGAAGGGGAUGACUGCCAAAGAGUAACUGCCAAAUUAAGAGGCUGGAAUUCAUACUUCUCCUUGCGGGCCUGUGGCUGAGUAUUAGGGACAGGCAAGAAAGAACAGGGAAAGAGAAGACAGUGGUAGUACUGACAGAUUUUAGACUUGGGGACCAAACAACAGAAGUAUCAAGCUUAUGAAGAAAUGAGAAAAAUUAUAUUAGUAAUAUUCAGCCUGUGACUGCAGUGUGUGUUCUGCAAACAUCUCUGUGUGAACCCCCUGCCAUGGCCCUGCCUUGGCCUUUCACCUUCAUCUGUUUGUUGGGUAGCUGGGAGUUCUCUGCACAGUGAGACUGAAGUUGAAUGUGUCACUCCGUGCAGACUCUUCCAGAGAUGUCUGGGCACAUUGCAGCGUGAACUGCAAGCAGAGAUCCCCAAGCACAAGCUGAUGAUUGAGGCUGCUGACUCCACAUAUCCUCCAGCAGCUCUUAGCCAUGCAUAUGGUUUUGUGCAGGAAGCUGUAUUCACAGAAGCCUCACAGCAGGGCUUGUCCUGCCACAUACACGCAGUUCUCUGCUCUUACAAGCAUGCAGCAUCCAGGUGAGUGACUGGCUUGCAUACCGCCCACAUCUGUUAAGUACGUACUGUGAUCAAAUGCCUGUGAGGUGGAUGCCACCAUUUAAAAUAAAUCUGCAUAUGAUCCAGUAAGUCCUCCUCUGCUGAAACAGUGCAAGCCUGUGAUGCCACUGACCUGGAAAGUACAUUAACAAAGUUCCACAGGGCAGCAAAAUGUACCCGCUCUUCCUUUCACCUGCUCCACAAACAUUCAUUAGUCGUGGGCUGUCUUCCUGGUGUGCUUCCUUCCUCUCCCAGUGCUGCUUAUCCUUUCAUUGUCCUCCUCCCCAUUUAGCUGUUCAUGCAAAGUGGAGAGAUUAAGAAGAAAUGAUAGAUACUUCUGUUGUCAUCACUUAGCAACAGAACUGGUCUCUGGACUGUGGGAUGUCCAUUUGAAAGGCCUUGUUUAGAGCUGUAUUCUUUGAUUCAAAAGAGCCUGUCUCUGAUCUUGGUCAAAACGAAGCAUUCUUGGUUGUGUUAUACAGGAAAAACACUUUGUAUUUGACCUCUGGCCUCAAGUUAGUAAUGAAAUUAUAUCAUUCUGCAUGAGGGUUUGGUAGUUUGAACAGGAAGAACAGGUGGGGUAAAAGGAGGAGAAGGUGAUUGAAUCCUUUUCCUGUGCACUACAUUAGUAAAAGGAGAAGGGUUUGUAGUUCAAGGUGGGGUUACACUGUAUUCAGACAUGAAGAAUGAAAAGGUGAGAACUCAACAGGUUUGAGGAAAGCUGCUAAGGAAAGUUAAGCUCUUUUGUACUCACUAAGCUGGUUUUGCAAAGUGACUUGCUGCUGCUUCCAGACUUUGUGUGUUCCAAUUUUGCUAAGUCAGUGGGCUGCACCUAUUGAAUCGGUUCUUCUCUGGUGUGUGUGGGACAGCUUUGUAUACAACAUCAAUAAAUUGAGAUGCAAGGAUCUAUCAGUAGCACACCUGCAAGUUGCUAUCCCCCAGUGAAAGGCAGUCAAAAUUAAGCCUGCAGCACCAACAAGUAAACAAAACCUAGAUUAAUCUACUAUUCCAAAGCAAUUUGGGAAAUGUCUAUUAACAAUAUGAAUUUAUGUAUUAAGAUAGAUACAAGAGGGAAUUCCUGUGCAAGGUUGUGGAUUUUUAGAUUCUGCUUGCAUGAAUGUCCUUUCUAAGCACUAGAUCAAGAAGGAACACUAUCAGAGAAAGACAUCAGAAAAGGAACUGAAGAUAUAUUAGGGUAAGUGUGCUAUGCAGGGCAGUACAGUGAGAAGACAGCAAACGCACUAAAGGCAGUGACUACUCCUCAGCCAGUGGCAGUGAUUAACCUUUUGUGUUCUCACAUGCUGCAGCUGAACUGAGGGGUCGUGGUUGGUGUCAGACUCCAGGGUUGAGCCUCGAAGCUCUGAAUGUGUGGGCUGGUCCAUUUUAUCAUGUAUGAAGUGGUACAGAGGCACUUGCAGCUCAAGCAGGAAUGUCAAGGUCCUUAUCUUGUUUGCACUCUGACUGGCCACACCUGUAUUUGUGGAAGACUUGCCGCAGAGGUGGGGAGCCUGCAGAGUAGGGCUGCUUGUCUGGGUUUUUUAAUGAGUGCCUGAUGACUUUCUACGAAAGUUGACAUGAAUUCUGGAAACUUUAUAAUCAUAAAAUCUGUUUAUAGCCUCCAGUUACUAAGCAACAAAGGACAAAGUACGGAACCUUUCUCUUUGCUAAUACAUUUAACAUGUUAGUGGGCUGGAUUUUUUAGGCAGAAUAAAAGGAAGCCACCAAUCAAACAUUUUUAAAGCUUUAUUUUGGCUUUAUUUAAACUCGGUGGAUUUUUAGAUUGAGUGUUUCAGAAACUCACUUGCAGUACUUGUGAGUACUAAUGCACAAAGUGGAUCUGUGUACGACUAUGUCUGAGCUUCAACCCAACAGACUGUUUUGAUCUCAAUGUGAAAGAGUUGGAAAUGAUCUUCAAAAGCCCUUUUCUCAGUUGCAGACUGGAGUCGUUCAUCUUCCUGCUGUAGUAAUUCACUGAAACCUUAAUGCCAUGCAUUCAGUGGUGUUUGCCCAGUGCUACACUGUCAUCUGCAGUGCCCUGCACAUCAUUAAUUACUCUGCAUUUCUCAUCAUCCUUUUCCCCAGAGUGACUAAACCAGAAGCAUAACCCUUUCAUUACACAUGAGACAGGCGAGAUUUGGUUUUCCUUUGUGUAGGAACAUGGGCAGCAUUACUUAUUCUGAAACACUGACAAUUCCCUCUGAAUUUCUGUCUUUUUUACUUUUAACUUCAGGGCAAGAUGUCCAUGGAGCCUUGGAAAAUCCCAUGGUGGAUACAAGCCUGUUGGAAGAAUUCAUUAGUAGCGACAUAGAGUUUGGAACUUUGCAAAGCCAGUUGCCAGACUCCCCACCGGACUCCGGAUCAGAACCAUAUUCCCCACCACAGCUACAAACCCCAUGGUACAAUACUCUGUGGCCCAGUGGGCUGCAGCCUCCACUGCCAUGCCCAUCUGCCAUGGCACCCAGCAAGCUUCCUUGUGGGUUCAUGGAGACUUACUCUGACCCCAAUGCCAUGAGGCAGCUUUCCACCAUCUCCCAAGACUGCUGCCUGAAGACAGAAAAUGCUGUGACUCCAUGGAAUCAUUCUACAUCCUCUGGCUGUUUGGGUUUUAAUUAUUCAUGCUUCCAGCCUAACGCAGCUCAGAUUUCUGGAAGUAUUUCUGCAGUGUCAAGCAAAAAAAGGAAGCUCUCCCAAUUACUAGGAGAUGUCAUUGAUUCUCCAGUGCAGUCUCAGGAUUCCAGACAAGCAGCUGUAAGGGACUGUGCUGCUGAAGUGCAAGAAUAUGACAGUGAUGGACAGAAUGCUGCUUUGGAAAAAUGUUGUCAAGCACUUACAUGGCAACCAUAUCAAACUUCUCAGUGGAACAGCUUAUUUAACUCUAAUUAUGAAAAACUACCUGCGGUAGGAUAUCACAUUGUCACAGAUAAAGGAUUUAAUUUUUCAACAGCAGAUGAUGCCUUUGUGUGCCAAAAGAAGAAUCAUUUCCAAAUCACAGUUCAUAUUAGAAUCAUUGGACAACCGAAAUAUGUCAAAACUCAGCAGGGGAGGAAACCAAUAGAAAAGUUUUACUUGAAAGCUUAUGGAAUUAAGAUGGAAACUCCAGAUCAAACAAUUCCUAUUGAACAGUCCCAGUCAGAUCGAAGCAAAAAAACUUUUAAUCCUGUUAAAGUUGAUCUGCCAGGGGACCAGAUAACUAAAGUAACACUGGGAAGGCUGCAUUUCAGUGAACCAACAGCAAAUAAUAUGAGAAAAAAGGGGAAACCUAAUCCUGAUCAGAGAUACUUCAUGCUGGUAGUUGGACUGUAUGCUGUUUCUCAGGACCAGUUCUACUUACUAUCUGCAAAUGUCUCUGAGAAGAUCAUUGUGAGGGCAUCUAACCCAGGACAGUUUGAGAAUGACAGUGAUGUACUGUGGCAGCGAGGACAUGUUCCAGAGACUAUAGUGUGUCAUGGUCGAGUAGGAAUUAACACAGAUGCACCAGAUGAAGCACUGGUUGUCUGCGGAAACGCCAAAGUUAUGGGCAGAGUCAUGCACCCAUCUGACAGCCGAGCAAAACAGAAUAUCCGGGAGGUCGAUACAAAUGAGCAGUUGAGAAGAAUAACACAAAUGAGGCUGGUGGAAUAUGACUACAAGCCUGAAUUUGCAUCUGUUAUGGGAAUAAAAGAUACCCAUGAAACAGGAAUAAUAGCCCAGGAAGUGAAGGGGCUUUUACCUGAAGCUGUUAGAGAAGUUGGAGAUGUUGCUUGUAAUGAUGGAGAAAAAAUAGAAAACUUCCUCAUGGUUGACAAGGAUCAGAUCUUUAUGGAGAAUGUUGGUGCUGUAAAGCAGCUUUGUAAACUAACAAACAAUCUUGAAGUCAGAAUAGAAGAACUGGAACAGUGGAAUAGGAAACUGGCCAGGCUGAAACGGCUGAGCAGUUUAAAGUCAACAGUCAGUGAAGAGAGCAAAGUCAGCAGGUACAGUCGAGCUAAUAGUCUUUUGCCAUCAAUAAAACCAGUCUCGCUAAAAUCCAGGAAGGUUUGUUUGUCCAAGACCAAAGAAUCUUGCUCCAUGAAGAUUUUCCGAGUGACUGUAAUAGCUUUGCUUGCUAUUAUGGCACUAUGUGCUUUGACAAUAUGGAGCCUGUAUUUACUUAGCAUUCAUGACAGACGUUUUGAAAAACAUCCAGUGAACAGCAGCAACUCAAGUUCUGUUCCAGUCUCUCCCUCUACCACAACAGCAGCAUUGCAAAGGGAAAGCACAAUUUCUCAGAGUACACAGCCCAUUAGCAGGAUCCCUGAAGUGAAUUUCUGUGACAUUUUGCCUUGUGACAAGGUCUAUUGUUGUCCAAUUCAUCAACCAAAAGUCAAAUCUCUAAGUUAUGAAAAAAACAAUGCAAAGGAAAAAGGAAAAAAAAGCGACAUGUUACCCAAAAGACAUCUGGUCAAAAAACCUAGUGGAAGACCUGAUCUUGGAAAUGACUGGAUUGAUGCAACAGUCAGUUCCAUACAGAUUUUGGAAACUCAGCAAAGCAUUGACAAUCGCUAUUGUAGAAAAAAUCUGCACUGCAGCUCUGGAAAUUUCAGCUAUGUUAUUCCUAUUAACAAAUACACACCCAUGGAUGUAGAAAUCUCACUGGAAAUAAACACCACAGAACCAUUAAUUAUAUUUCUCUGCAAAGUCACAUUUGGAAAUUAUUGCUCCCAUUAUUCUUCAAGCCAAAACAGUAGGAAGGAUUUCCAAGAAACCACACAGCAGAGAGGAUGUGUCAGAAAGUGAAGUGAGGAGAAAAAGAUGAAGAAGUUGAGACACUAGAAAUAAAAGUUACCAUGGAUCAUUGGGUAAAAGAGAGGUGAGGAUUGAAUUUUGUUUUAUUCAUUGUAGCAUAAACAUUUCAGGUACAAAAUAUAUUGUUUCACUUGUACAUGGCAGUACACUGUAAUAAAAAUUAGCAUGAAACCUUGCAGGUAUCUGUUUUUGAAAUACUGAGUGAAGACACUACCCACAUCUUCAGAAUGUAAAGAGGAAAUUUUCUGUCUUCUGAGCACUGCUAAAGUUGCUGGCCCAAAAUCAGCAGAGCUGCCAUUUGCUACUAUUACAACUUAAAGCUCUCAGACCAGCUGGCACAUCAGGAACAAUCCCUAUUUAUUGUGGGAUUUGCUCAGAAAACAAGUGAGGGAAUCCAGUUAUUCAGAGCCAGCUGAGUGUCACUGGGAGUCAGAUGCCUGCAGUUCCCAUGUGGAGCUGAUCAGAGUAAACCGACAUUCACAGGGUUCAGUCAGCACUUGGUCUUUAAAUACUUUGACUACAGCUAUCAAGGCUUGGUAUUGUAAUUACUUUGCACUGCAUUUGUCAAUUAAAUAUUUCCAGAGCUUAUCCUUCUCUCCAAUUCCCCAUGAAAUAGGGUUAUCUAAUGUCUCCCAUUUAUCACCUAGGGACGCCAGCAUGUUUGGGCUCUCCCUGUAGCUAAGCUGUAUGACAGCGCAUAUUCUUUCCGUGUAGCUGUGCCGGGUUUUGCUAGCUGCUUGACAGAC